rnacentral:lncRNA from 1 species
CUGCAGCACAUGAAAGUUCCCAGGCUAGGGGUUGAACUGGAGCUACAGCUGCUGUCCUACACCACAGCCACAGCAAUGUGGGAUUCGAGCCAUGUCUGCAACCAUCACCACAGCUCUCGGCAACACCAGAUCACUGACCCACUGAGCUAGGCCAGGGAUCCAACCCGCUUCCUCAUGGACACUAGUUGGGCUUCUAACCUGCUAAGCCAUAAUAGGAACUCCAAAUCUCCAACCCUCUUUUGAUUGUCUGAGAGAGCACUUUUUUCAUUUUUGAAGGUUAAUUUCACAGGAUACAGAAUUCUAUAUUUUUCCUCCUUUUUAAAAAAUUGAAGUGUAGAUUUACAUCGUGUUAGUUUCAGGUGUAGAGCAAAGUGAUUCAGUUACAUUUGUUCAGAUUAUUUUCAAUUAUAAGUUAUUAAGAGAUGCUGAAUUUAGGAGUCCCCGUCGUGGCUCAGUGGUUAACAAAUCUGACUAGGAACCCUGAGCUUGCGGGUUCGAUCCUUGGCCUUGCUCAGUGGGUUAAGGAUCCAGCGUUGCCAUGAGCUGUGGUGUAGGUCGCAGACGCAGCUCGGAUCCUGAGUUGCUGUGUCUCUGGCGUAGGCCGGUGGCUGCAGCUCCGAUUCGACCCCUAUCCUGGGAACCUCCAUAUGCUGUGGAGUGGCCCUAGAAAAAGGCAAAAAGACACACACACACACACACACACACACACACAAUGCUGAAUUUAGUUCCCUGUAACUCCUUGUGGCUUAUUUUUCUCCUCUUAACACUUGAAUUAUUUCACUCCACUCUUUUCUUACUUGUAUGGUUUCUGGAAAGAAGCCUGAAGGAGUUCUCACCCUUGUUCCUCUAUAGGCAAGAUUCUUCCCCUCUGGCUUCUUUCCAGGUUUAUUCUUUGUCUUUGAUUUUUCUGCAGUUUCAACAUGCUAUGCCCAGUAGAAGAUUUUUGGAGUAUCUUUCUCGUUCUGAGACGCCUCGAUUUGUGGUUUGGUUCUCUCUCACUGAUUUUGGAAGAUCCUUUGUCACUGUGACUUGAAGUACUUCCUCUUUUCCUUUCCUUUUUUCUUCUUCUGGUAGUCCCAGUAUGUGUGUGCUAGACAUUUGAUAAUUGUCCCACAGAUCUUGAAUAUUCUGUUCCAUGUUUUUCUUUUUUUCCCUUUGCAUUUCAGUUUUGGGGGCCAUUAUUUACAGAGCUUUAAGCUCACCGAUCCUUUCCUUGGUCUACUCAUGACUCCAUCAAAGGCAUCCUUCAUUCCCAUUACAGAGUUUUUCAUUUCUAGCAUUUUCUUUUAAUUGUUUCUUAGUGUUUCUAUCCCUCUUGCUUACAUUACCCAUUUUUCUUGCAUGUGUCCAUUUUUUUCAUUAGCGCUCUCAGCAUAUUAUUAGUUGUUUUAGAUUUAUAGUCUGAUAAUUCCAACAUUGUUGCCAUGUCUGAGUCUGGUUCUGAUACUUGUUCUGUCCCAGCUGCAUUGUGUCUUUUAGUAUGCCUUGUAGUUUUAUGCUAAAAACGAGACAUGACAUACUAUGUAGAAGCAACUGAGUUAAACAGGCCUUUAGGGUAAAGCUUUAUGUUUAUCUGGCUUGGAAUUAGGCUGUGUUUAUUGUCUGCUGUAACUGCAGGUGUUAGAGGCUAAAAUGUUCUCUCACAUCCGUGUUUUUGUCUCUUCUGUUGUCUUUGUGUUUCUCCAGAGACUUCUUUUUGCUUUUUUAGGGCCGUACUCACGGCAUAUGGAAGUUCCCAGGCAAGGGGGCAGAUCAGAGCUACAGCUGCCAGCCUACACCACAGCCACAGCAACUUAGGAUCCGAGCUAUGUCUGCGACCUACACCACAGCUCAGGGCAACGCUGGAUCGCUGACCCACUGAGUGAGGCCAGGGAUCAAACCCAUAUCCUCAUGGAUGCUAGUCAGAUUUGUUUCUGCUGCGCCACAAUGGGAACUCCUCCAGAGACGUCUUAAAUAAGGUCUGAGAUGUGCCUUCUUGAGUUGUAAUCCCCUGUUGUUCAGCCCGAGCCUACUGAUGUGGUGGUAUGUAUUGGAGGAACGGGAGCUUUUUAUAGUCCUGUGAUUAGGUGUCAAACUUUUAGUGACUUCUGCCGCUGGGCUUUAACUUUCACUAGUAUUUCCCAGUUUUGGGUUCCAACCCCUUAGUAGGGACAGAAAAAGGUUAAUGAGGGCAGGACCUGGACGUUUCCCUUUCGCCAUGUGAAAAGUCGCAGUGGGCUGAGCUGGGUAUUUCCCUUCCCUGGGUCAGUUAAGUUCUGGUUCAACCUCAGUCAGUUAGUCUCUGGUUAAGUGGUUUCUCUUAAGGGUAGACCAUAUUAAGGAGACUAGAAUGCUUUGGAUGUAUUUUCAAAAUAGCUCCUAUUCCAUUACCCGUUCUGGAGGCACAGAGGGGUUCUUCUUCACUCUUGACUCUGGGGAGCUGCAAGGGCCCCUGGAAGUGAAACUCACAGAAAUGUUAGACUCCUCCCUAAGACUGGUCCCCCUAAAACUUUUAACUCUCAAGCUGGUCUACAGGCUUGAAUUGCCUCUGGCAGGUCGUAGGCAGGUCAUCGUCUGCAGUUGAAGUUUUCCCACCCUGGUACUGGCUCCACUGGCCGCUCCCUUUCUUGAGCUUUCUUUUCGGUGAACUGUGACUCUCUGCAUGCACCUGUCUCCCCAGUCUUUCGGGCAGCAGUUUCCUCUGAGGACUUCAAGUCUCUGCUGGAUCCCAGAAGAGUAACUGAUUUUGAACUUAUUCAGCUUUUUUUCUUGUUGUGAAGAUGGGCGUGUUGACGUCAAGCCCCUUACGUGCUGGGCCAGAAAAGCCUCAUCUCCUUUUUAGGAAUCAGUCUGUGAAAGGCCUUCCUGGGUGGGGCAUCCCCUUCUCCAGGAAGCCGGCAGAACCCACUGAGGUUGGCCAGAACGCCGCCUCUAGACCCCGUGCAGACCUCUUACUCCACCUCAGGAAACAGAAGUGUCUCUCUUACUGAUCAUGAGGUAAAAGCCGAAGGCCCACAGAACUGGGUCCAAGGAAGAAAACCCAAAAGCUUGAACAGAAACAUUUCUAAAGUAGUUCUCACGCUGGGUCUGCCUAGGCCACAUCAGAGAUGUGAGGCACAGGGACAGUAAGACCGUCAGCGCACACCGACAGGAGGAGGGGCAACCUGCCCAGGGGGACUCCGCAGAGGGUGCGGUACCUACCUGCCCCCAUGCUAUAUUUUAGGAACAGGGUACCUGAUCCUCGAGAUCAGGCCAUGUCAGACUGCUCAGAGCACAGGGCUAGCUGGCACAGAGCAGCCACAGUAGGUACUUCAUCUGAAUUGAUCCUUCAGAAGCCCGGAGCACAGUACCGGGCAGUACAACAAACAAGUGGUCAGCCCACAAGCUCUCACAUCGACUGAUCCUGGCCCACCUCUCCAUGGAAAGCCAGGGACUAGGCUUCCCUGCCUUAGGCAAGUGCCCCAUCAAGGGAGAUUUCAGCACUGAGGAGAUCCUUCUCUCUUGAAAGCGGAUGAUGAACAGCUGAAGCAGGACAAGUGCAGGGCCCAGACUGAAGCUGAGGCCCGGGUACAUCCCAGCGGCCCUCCUGGGAGGUCCCCAGGGACCAGCCCCAGGAAAUGCAUAUCACAGAUGCCCUCAGACACAGAGACCCAGGCCACAGCAGAGGUAUGCAACAAACAGCAAGCAGGCUUUAAUCGAGGGUGUAAAACCAGGGUAACCCUAGCCUCUUAGGUUGCAAGGACUUCUCUCUUCUCCUUGAGACACAGGCCCAGGCCUGUUUCCUAAUGAGAACCCAGAAAUCGGUCUUCAUCCCCAAGCUGUUUAUGUGCUGGUUCGGAUCUCUCUCUUGCUCUGGUUGGCUCGCAUCUGUCAGGCAUUUUCCUUCCUUGGGGACAGCAGUCUUCUCACAUGCAUCUGUGUUUUGAGGCUCUGGGUGUAAGGGAAGGCACCUUGCAAUUAAGCUGCCUUUCCACUAGCUGUUCCCUCUGCCUAGAACACUCUUGCCCAGAUGUGUGCCUGGCUAGCUCCCUCAUCGUCUUGAUCUUUGAAAUCUUUGCUCAAAUACUACCUUUUCAACAAGGCUCUAUUGCAAUCGGCUCCCUCUGCCAACCCCCAGUGCUCCUGACUCCCUUACUUUGCUCUAUAUUUUGCAGAGCUCUUAACAACUUCUCUGUCUUUGCAUUUUCUGCAGUUUGAAUAUGAUUUGCCUCGUUCUAUCACAUACAUGUAGACUGUAUCUUCUUGGUAGUGCUAGAAUGUAAGCACCCUAAGAGCAGGAAUUUUUGUUUGUUUGGGUCACUGAUAACCCAAGCACACAGAAAUGGCACAGAAAAGGCAUUCGCCAAAUGAGUGUGUGGAGGAAAGGGGAAACCUGGGUUUGGCUCCCACCCUGUCACCUACUGCCAGCGUGUGCCUUUGGCAGUUUACUUCGCCCUCAGCCCCAGUUUCUUCAUCUCUGAGACUGGGGUCCAGGCACCCACCUCACUGGAUUACGCACCCGGGCAGGGGCUGGGCAUGAACAGCUCGUUAAUAAACAGGCCUGGCCACCUGACAUAAUUACUGCUCCCUCUCAACCUCCUCACCUUCCAUCUGUUCUAAGUACCCUUUCCCCUCAGGGGCAUCACCAAGGCAAUUAAUGUGGCAGAGCCUUCAGGUCUGGGGCUGUGAUGAGCGGAUGAGAGAAUGAGGCCAUGAAAAACCCAAAGAUCUCAGGAUUCUCUCUUCCCUGUGCUAGUAGAGCUGACUCAAGGGCAGCUGACUCAGGCUCUCAGCAACCCCCACACCCCAGAAGAUCUGGGGCCAAUCUUCUGGUUCUGUGAGACAUCGGAGCCCUCCCUUGACCUACGAAACCAAGUCUGACAGAGCCAAUUUUCUAAGCCCUCUGAUCACCAUCAAGCCCACAGCAAAGAAAGGGACUCGGAGCUCACCAGGACCUCACAGAUGUGUGGGGAGCGUCAGGUCACUCCAUGCACAGGAAACGCCUCCUCCUGCCUGCACCUGUGAAAAGAUGAAAAGAUGUACUCAGGAGGGUGCGCAGGCUCCCAGGUAGAGGUCAGGGUCCCGUGUCCUGCCUCCACCACUCAACAGCUGUGGGUUCUUUGGUUUCCUGAGGUCUCCGGGCUUCAGGGUGCUGAGCUGUAACAUGAAGACCCUGACGGCGCCCGCCUCCCCGGAUCGCUGUGGGUUUGGGUGGGAUGUACCGCUGCGGGGCCUGAGCACUUGCCUGGCACCAGCUGUAGUAAUGAUCACUAGGUCAUUUUCAAAGGCUUUUAAACCACUCAGCCAUACAAAGAAUGACAUCUUGCCACUUGCCAAUGGGACCUCCAUCACUAGUUUGUUUCAUUUUUUAUUUUUUAUUUAUUUUUUUGUCUUUUGUCUUUUUAGGGCCGCACCCGCAGCAUGUGGAAGUUCCCAGGCUAGGGGUCUAAUCAGAGCUGUAGCCGCUGGCCUAUACCAGAACCACAGCAACGACAGAUCCGAGCUGCGUCUGCAACCUACACCACGGCUCACAGUAACGCCGGAUCCUUAACCCAUCAAGCGAGGCCAGGGAUCGAACCCUCAACCUCAUGGUUCCUAGUCAGAUUCGUUUCUACUGUGCCACAACGGGAACUCCAAGAGUAGAAAUAUUUUAACUUUUAAAAGGUACGGCCAGAUUUCUCUCUAAAAAGGCACAGCAAGUUACACUCCCACAAUAGUGUAAUAAAAUAAUCUUUUCCCCAUAAUCUUCCAGCUUUUGAGUUUUUCAAUCUUUUUAAUAUUUGUAAAUCUUCAGAGAUAAAAAUUAUUUCUCAUUUCAAGUUGCAUUUACCUA